rnacentral:rRNA from 1 species
GGUGCUGCAUGGCUGUCGUCAGCUCGUGUCGUGAGGAUGUUGGUUAAGUCCCGCAACGAGCGCAACCCUUGUCAUUAGUUGCUACAUUCAGUUGGGCACUCUAAUGAGACUGCCGGUGACAAGCCGGAGGAAGGUGGGGAUGACGUCAAGUCCUCAUGGCCCUUAUAGGUGGGGCUACACACGUCAUACAAUGGCUGGUACAAAGGGUUGCCAACCCGCGAGGGGGAGCCAAUCCCAUAAAGCCAGUCGUAGUCCGGAUCGUAGUCUGCAACUCGACUACGUGAAGUCGGAAUCGCUAGUAAUCGUGGAUCAGAAUGUCACGGUGAAUACGUUCCCGGGUCUU